GUGGGGAAUAUUGGACAAUGGGCGAAAGCCUGAUCCAGCCAUGCCGCGUGUGUGAAGAAGGUCUUCGGAUUGUAAAGCACUUUAAGUUGGGAGGAAGGGCAGUAAGUUAAUACCUUGCUGUUUUGACGUUACCAACAGAAUAAGCACCGGCUAACUUCGUGCCAGCAGCCGCGGUAAUACGAAGGGUGCAAGCGUUAAUCGGAAUUACUGGGCGUAAAGCGCGCGUAGGUGGUUCAGCAAGUUGAAGGUGAAAUCCCCGGGCUCAACCUGGGAACUGCCUCCAAAACUACAUGACUAGAGUACGGUAGAGGGUAGUGGAAUUUCCUGUGUAGCGGUGAAAUGCGUAGAUAUAGGAAGGAACACCAGUGGCGAAGGCGACUACCUGGACUGAUACUGACACUGAGGUGCGAAAGCGUGGGGAGCAAACAGGAUUAGAAACCCGUGUAGUCC
rnacentral:rRNA from 1 species